rnacentral:tRNA from 1 species
GGAUAUAGCUCGGUUGGUAGAGUGCUUGCCUUGCAUGCACAAGACCCUGGGUUCUAUCCCCAGCACCA